rnacentral:rRNA from 1 species
AGUGAACGCUGGCGAUAGGCCUAACACAUGCAAGUCGAACGGCAGCACAGUAAGAGCUUGCUCUUACGGGUGGCGAGUGGCGGACGGGUGAGGAAUACAUCGGAAUCUACUUUUUCGUGGGGGAUAACGUAGGGAAACUUACGCUAAUACCGCAUACGACCUACGGGUGAAAGCAGGGGAUCUUCGGACCUUGCGCGAUUGAAUGAGCCGAUGUCGGAUUAGCUAGUUGGCGGGGUAAAGGCCCACCAAGGCGACGAUCCGUAGCUGGUCUGAGAGGAUGAUCAGCCACACUGGAACUGGGACACGGUCCAGACUCCUACGGGAGGCAGCAGUGGGGAAUAUUGGACAAUGGGCGCAAGCCUGAUCCAGCCAUACCGCGUGGGUGAAGAAGGCCUUCGGGUUGUAAAGCCCUUUUGUUGGGAAAGAAAAGCAGCAGGUUAAUACCCCGCUGUUCUGACGGUACCCAAAGAAUAAGCACCGGCUAACUUCGUG